AACGAACGCUGGCGGCAUGCCUAACACAUGCAAGUCGAACGAGACCUUCGGGUCUAGUGGCGCACGGGUGCGUAACGCGUGGGAAUCUGCCCUUGGGUUCGGAAUAACAGCGAGAAAUUGCUGCUAAUACCGGAUGAUGACGUAAGUCCAAAGAUUUAUCGCCCAAGGAUGAGCCCGCGUAGGAUUAGCUAGUUGGUGAGGUAAAGGCUCACCAAGGCGACGAUCCUUAGCUGGUCUGAGAGGAUGAUCAGCCACACUGGGACUGAGACACGGCCCAGACUCCUACGGGAGGCAGCAGUGGGGAAUAUUGGACAAUGGGCGAAAGCCUGAUCCAGCAAUGCCGCGUGAGUGAUGAAGGCCUUAGGGUUGUAAAGCUCUUUUACCCGGGGAUGAUAAUGACCGUACCGGGAGAAUAAGCCCCGGCUAACUCCGUGCCAGCAGCCGCGGUAAU
rnacentral:rRNA from 1 species